GUAUUAGGUUGGUGCAAAGGUAAUUGCAGUUUUUCCCAUUUAAAAUAUGGAAAAAAAAAUCACAAUUACUUUUGCAUCAACCUAAUAA
ensembl:miRNA MIR548AI microRNA 548ai